GAUGAACGCUGGCGGCGUGCCUAAUACAUGCAAGUCGAGCGAACAAACGAGGAUCUUGCUUCUCUUACGUUAGCGGUGGAUGGGUGAUUAAUACGUGGAUAACCGACCUUGAAGACUAAGAUACGUUCGGGAAACCUGAUCUAAUAUCCGAUAAGAGGGAGAACCGCAUGGUUCAACAGACAAAAAGCUUCUUGCUGUCACUUAUAGAGAUUACCGCGCCGGAUUAGCUAGUUGGUAAGGUAACGGCUUACCAAGGCAACGAUGCGUAGCCGACCUGAGAGGGUGAUCAGCCACACUGGAACUGAGACACGGUCCAGACUCCUACGGGAGGCAGCAGUAGGGAAUCUUGCGCAAUGGGCGAAAGCCUGACGGAGCAACGCCGCGUGAGUGAAGAAGGUCUUCGGAUCGUAAAACUCUGUUAUUAGGGAAGAACAAAAGUGUAAGUAACUAUGCACGUCUUGACGGUACCUACUCAGAAAGCAACGGCUAACUACGUG
rnacentral:rRNA from 1 species